rnacentral:rRNA from 1 species
AAGGAUCAUUACCGAGUUAGGGUCCUCUGGGCCCCAUCUCCAACCCUUGUCUACCUUACCCUGUUGCUUUGGCGGGCCCGUCCUUAACCGGACCGCCGGGGUUCUCUGGAUCCCCGGCCCGCGCCCGUCAGUAGCCCCCCUCAAACUCUUUUGAACAAAUGUCGUCUCAGUCUGAAAAAGCAAUAAAACCAAAAACUUUCAACAACGGAUCUCUUGGUUCUGGCAUCGAUGAAGAACGCAGCGAAAUGCGAUAAGUAAUGCGAAUUGCAGAAUUCCGUGAGUCAUCGAAUCUUUGAACGCACAUUGCGCCCUUUGGUAUUCCGAAGGGCAUGCCUGUUCGAGCGUCAUUAUCAACCCUCAAGCCCGGCUUGCUAUUGGGUCCCGCAUCACCCUCGACGGCGGUGGACCCGAAAGAUAAUGGCAAAGCCCGCGGGGACCCUGGACGCAACGAGCUUUUUCAGCACGCGUCUGGACGGUCUCCCGGCUCCGCCUCAACCGCAAGAAUCUUCUCUCAAGGUUGACCUCGGAUCAGGUAGGGAUACCCGCUGAACUUAA